AGCGAACGCUGGCGGCAGGCCUAACACAUGCAAGUCGAACGAACCUUUCGGGGUUAGUGGCGGAAGGGUGAGUAACACGUGGGAACGUGCCUUUAGGUUCGGAAUAACUCAGGGAAACUUGUGCUAAUACCGAAUGUGCCCUCCGGGGGAAAGAUUAAUCGCCUUUAGAGCGGCCCGCGUCUGAUUAGCUAGUUGGUUGAGGUAAUGGCUCACCAAGGCGACGAUCAGUAGCUGGUCUGAGAGGAUGACCAGCCACAUUGGGACUGAGACACGGCCCAAACUCCUACGGGAGGCAGCAGUGGGGAAUCUUGCGCAAUGGGCGAAAGCCUGACGCAGCCAUGCCGCGUGAAUGAUGAAGGUCUUAGGAUUGUAAAAUUCUUUCACCGGGGACGAUAAUGACGGUACCCGGAGAAGAAGCCCCGGCUAACUUCGUG
rnacentral:rRNA from 1 species